rnacentral:rRNA from 1 species
GAUGAACGCUAGCGACAGGCCUAACACAUGCAAGUCGAGGGGCAGCGAGGAUGUAGCAAUACAUUUGUCGGCGACCGGCGCACGGGUGAGUAACGCGUAUGCAACCUACCCGACACGAGGGGGAUAACCCGGAGAAAUCCGGACUAAUACCGCAUAAAACAGGGGUCCCGCAUGGGAAUAUUUGUUAAAGAGUUAUCGGUGUCGGAUGGGCAUGCGUUCCAUUAGCUAGUUGGUGAGGUAACGGCUCACCAAGGCAACGAUGGAUAGGGGUUCUGAGAGGAAGGUCCCCCACACUGGUACUGAGACACGGACCAGACUCCUACGGGAGGCAGCAGUGAGGAAUAUUGGUCAAUGGACGGAAGUCUGAACCAGCCAAGUCGCGUGAAGGAUGAAGGAUCUAUGGUUUGUAAACUUCUUUUAUACGGGAAUAAAGUGUGGUACGUGUACCAUUUUGUAUGUACCGUAUGAAUAAGCAUCGGCUAACUCCGUG